rnacentral:ncRNA from 1 species
UAAAGUUUAUAUUACUAAUUUUAUUAUUAUAUUAAUUAUUUAAUUAAGUAUAUAUAUAUAUAUUAAUUAUUUUAAUAAUAUAAAACCAUAUUAUUAUAAUUUUAUAUAUAAAUAUAAUUUAUUUUGUUAUAAAAUUUUAUUUAAUUAAAAAAAUACAUGAAAUUUUUUGAUUGUUAAUAAAUUCUUAAAGAAUUUUAAUAGUUCUCAGUAUUAAGUAUUAAAUAUUAAAGAAAUUUAGAUUUAAUUAUUAAUUUUAGUAUAAACUAAGUAUGUGCCAGCAGUUGCGGUUAAACAUAAUAUACAAAUAAAAUAGUUUGGUUAUUAGUAUUUAAAUAUAAUUUAUAAUUUAAUUUUUUUUAAUAAAGUAAAAUUUAAUUAAGAUUUAUGAUUAUAAUUAUUUUAUUCUAUUAAAUUUUAUUUAAAACUAGGAUUAGAUACCCUAUUAUAAAAAUUUAAAUUAAUUUACUAAAAAAUUAAUAGUUAUGUUCUUUAAAUUUAAAAAAUUUGGCGGUAUUUUAGUCUUAUUAGAGGAACCUGUUUUUUAAUUGAUAAUCCACGAUUAAUUUUACUUAUUUUAAUUAAUUCAUAUAUCGCUGUCAUGAAUAUAUUAAAAAAUUUAUUUUCUUUAUUUAUUUUUAUAAUUUAUGUUAAGUCAAGAUGUGGUUUAUAAAUAAGUUAGUAAUGGGUUACAUUAAAUUUUAUUUUUGGAUUUUAAAUGAAAAUUAAGAUGAAAUUGGAUUUAAUAGUAAAUUUAUUUAUUUAGUUAAUAUGAAUAAAGAUCUAAAAUAUGUACAUAUUGCCCGUCAUUCUUAUUAAAAAUAAGACAAGUCGUAACAAAGUAAAUGUACUGGAAAGUGUAUUUAGAAAG